GGAAGGCACCGCUGAAUGGUCGGCAACUGGUCUUGAAAACCAGGGCGGUGUAACAAGCCGGGGGUUCGAUUCCUCUGCCUUCCG
rnacentral:tRNA from 1 species